UACGGGGGGGGCAAGCGUUGUUCGGAAUUACUGGGCGUAAAGGGCUCGUAGUCGGCCAACUAAGUCAGACGUGAAAUCCCUCGGCUUAACCGGGGAACUGCAUCUGAUACUGGAUGGCUUGAGUUCGGGAGAGGGAUGUGGAAUUCCAGGUGUAGCGGUGAAAUGCGUAGAUAUCUGGAGGAACACCGGUGGCGAAGGCGGCAUCCUGGACCGACACUGACGCUGAGGAGCGAAAGCCAGGGGAGCAAACGGG
rnacentral:rRNA from 1 species